UGGUCAAGUUAUUAAGGGUGCAGGGCGGAUGCCUUGGCACUAGGAGCCGAUGAAGGACGUGAUAAGCUGCGAUAAGCUUCGGGGAGUUGCACGUAAACUUUGAUCCGAAGAUUUCCGAAUGAGGAAACUCACUUAGAGUAAUGUCUAAGUAUCAUUAAGUGAAUACAUAGCUUAAUGAGGGGAACUCAGGGAACUGAAACAUCUAAGUACCUGAAGGAAGAGAAAGAAAUUCGAUUCCGUAAGUAGCGGCGAGCGAACGCGGAUUAGCCCAAACCAAUAAAGUUUUCUUUAUUGGGGUUGCGGACAUAUCAUAACGAAGAGGUAUCGUAAUUGAAGAGGUUUGGAAAGACCCACCACAGAAGGUAAUAGUCCUGUAUGUUAAACGAGAAGACUUUAGAUAUGAUCCAGAGUACCACGGGACACGUGAAACCCUGUGGGAAGCAGGAGGGACCACCCUCCAAGGCUAAAUACUACCUAGUGACCGAUAGCGUAUAGUACCGUGAGGGAAAGGUGAAAAGAACCCCGGGAGGGGAGUGAAAUAGAACCUGAAACCCUGCACUUACAAGCUGUGGAAGCACAUUUCUUGUGUGACCGCGUACUUUUUGUAGAACGGGCCAACGAGUUACGUUAAGUAGCAAGGUUAAGCACUUAAGGUGCGGAGCCGUAGCGAAAGCGAGUUUUAACUGAGCGUUCAGUUACUUGACGUAGACCCGAAACCGGGCGACCUACCCAUGAGCAGGAUGAAGCGAAAGUAAAAUUUCGUGGAGGUCCGAACCCACGAGCGUUGAAAAGCUCGGGGAUGACUUGUGGGUAGCGGUGAAAUUCCAAUCGAGCCCGGAGAUAGCUGGUUCUCCCCGAAAUAGCUUUAGGGCUAGCCUCAAGGUGAGAGAUACGGAGGUAGAGCACUGAAUGUCCUAGGGGGUAUUGCACCUACCGAAGACUAUCAAACUCCGAAUGCCGUCAUCUUAUACUUGGGAGUCAGACUGUGGGUGAUAAGAUUCAUAGUCGAAAGGGCAACAGCCCAGAUCGUCAGCUAAGGUCCCUAAAUGUAAGUUAAGUGGUAAAGGAUGUGGGAUUGCACAGACAACCAGGAUGUUGGCUUAGAAGCAGCCACUCAUUCAAAGAGUGCGUAAUAGCUCACUGGUCGAGUGAUCCUGCGCCGAAGAUUUCCGGGGCUAAAACUUACUACCGAAGCUACGGCAUCAGUAAUGAUGGGUAGGGGGGCUUCCCAUACGGGUUGAAGCAUGACCGUAAGGACAUGUGGACAGUAUGGGAGUGAGAAUGUUGGCAUGAGUAGCGAGAUGUGGGUGAGAAUCCCACAGGCCGUAAACCCAAGGUUUCCAGGGGAAGGUUCGUCCGCCCUGGGUUAGUCGGGACCUAAGCUGAGGCCGAAAGGCGUAGGUGAUGGACAACAGGUUGAUAUUCCUGUACUACCGAUAACCGUUUGAGAGAAGGGAUGACACAGUAGGAUAAGCUAAGCACACUGUUGGUUAUGUGUGCCCAAGCAUUGAGGCAGUCAAAGUAGG
rnacentral:rRNA from 1 species